rnacentral:lncRNA from 1 species
AAUUUUUUACCAUAGACAUAUUUCGUCAUAAUGAUCAUAUCUGACGGUCGAAUUUUGGUUUGUGAAUUUUAAUCAUCGGAAUCACAACGUGUCUACUAAUGUUGUAUAACUUAUUUAGUAGGUUAUACAACUUUGUGAACCAACUCUACAUAGGAAGCAAAAUUAUUAAAAAUCUCGUGAAAUAAGAUGUGUUCAAAAUGGUGAAAUACGGCUAUGGUUCAAAAAUCACGUAAAUCGGGUAAAGUCUCGGAGCCGAUAGUAGCGGUCAACUCUAUUUACCGUUAUUAUUCCUUAUGGGGAGCCCUAUCGUCGGAAGGUAAAUGUCUCAAAAUUUUUAUAUAGACGGUUGCGUCUCAUCUACGUGAGAGUUUUUCGUGUUGAAGAUUUGACCAAACUACGCAAUAUAGGGCGAGAUAUGAGCGUUUUCGUGAAUUUAUAGACUUUAGCCGACGAAAAUAUAUGAAAAGUCGUUGGCUAAGGUCAAAAAAUUUCAAAAUUUUUUAGGCGGUAAACCAAAGUUGGAGGAAAAUUUUCAAAGGACUUUAGCCGACGAAAAUAUAUGAAAAGUCAUCGGCUAAAGUCGAAAAAUUUUCAAAAUUUUCUACCAAAAUUUUUUGGCGGUCAACCAAAAUUUUCAAAAAAGUUUAGCCGACGAAAAUAAAGAAUUUCGUCGGCUAAAUUUAUAUAGGCGAAGAUGGAUGGUAAGAAGUCUAUUAUCUGCCAGAUUUUCUUCUCGGCCUAGCUCCGCCGUCAAGCCACCGGAGACCGCCACACUUGUCCCAAAAGCUUCGCCGUCGUCUCUACCUCAUUGCUGGAUAGGUGGUGCAUCGAGUGGCGCCGCCGUGAGGAAAAAAUCGAGCUCCAAAACUCCGCCGGUUCGGAUUCGGUGUCGAUCGAAUUUCUCCUUCCUUAGGUCACCAUUUGGUGUGUUCUAUAUAUGGAUAAGUUGAGUUUGAUUAGUACUACAUUCCCCUGGAAUUUGGUAGCUCGAUUCGGUGUGUGUGAAGAGAAUCGAAGAUUUGAAGUUUUUAGGGUUUAAAAUUGGGGAUUUUUAUAUUUUCAGUCGAUUGACCUGUUUAGGUUUAGAAUUGAGCUUCGACUUCUUCUAGAAAGUUGUUCGAAAUGUUGAGAGGAAGAUUCUAUCAAAUUUUGGUCGUGAUUGGAGGUGGCCGAAAGUUUCUGCAGUUUUUUUUUUUCAAAACCCAGCAACUUUAGCCGACGAUAUUUAAAUACUAUAUUCGUCGACUAUAGUUAUUUUUUAAUUUUUUAUAAGGUUUAGCCGACGUAAUAUAUAGUUAUUUUUUAAAUUUUUAUAAGGUUUAGCCGACGAAAUAUAGUAAAUUUCGUCGGUUAUAGUUAUUUUUUAAUUAUUUAUUACACACUUUAGCCGACGAAUAUCUUAAUUGUUUCGUCGGCUAAAAUCUGGGAAAAAAACCGACGACAUGUUUUUCGUCGGCUAACUGUGGGACUAUAGCCGACGAAAAAAAAAAUUUCGUCGGCUAAAGUCAUCACCGACGACCUUUUCCCGACGACA